rnacentral:rRNA from 1 species
UACAGAGGUCCCAAGCGUUGUUCGGAUUCAUUGGGCGUAAAGGGUGCGUAGGCGGCGCGGUAAGUCGGGCGUGAAAUCUCGGGGCUUAACUCCGAAACUGCAUUCGAUACUGCCGUGCUUGAGGACUGGAGAGGAGACUGGAAUUUACGGUGUAGCGGUGAAAUGCGUAGAUAUCGUAAGGAAGACCAGUGGCGAAGGCGGGUCUCUGGACAGUUCCUGACGCUGAGGCACGAAGGCCAGGGGAGCAAACGGG